rnacentral:lncRNA from 1 species
CUCUCUACAAAUUAAACCUAAAAAAUCAUCAGAAAAUACAAAAAAGAAACAAAAAAAAAAUAAAAAAAUUGGAGCAAAACCUACCAUCCGAAUUGUGUACUUGAUGUUGAGAAAAGGAAUCUCAAAGGGCAAACUACUCGUCGAAUUCACCUUGUUCAUGAAACGCGGCAAGAUCGCCGGCAAAGCAGCCAUUCAACACCUCAUGUUCCACCACC